rnacentral:lncRNA from 1 species
GGGUACUGCAAAGACACAGCCCUUUCUCUAGCACCAAUCCUGUUGGUGCAAAAAUCCACCGACGUCGGAGAAGCUGGAGUCGAGGGAGUCGUAGUCGUUGCCGGGACCUGCAAAGGAAGUCUAAACCGGAGUUGGGGGUGCUCCGGCAAGACCCUCCGAUGCUCAAGUCAGUUCUCUGCCUCAACAAGAAUGGAGUGCUCGAACUGAAAUUUUAGCAGAG